UCCCCAAAAUUUAUUUUAGCACUGUAACUUUACGUGUAUUUAAAUACCCCUUAAACAACUUACAAGUGAAUUAAAUAUGACCUUAGAGGCUGACGUGGCAAAUAAAAAAUUUAUAAGCGCGUAAAUAGCAUAAAAAAUGAAAAGGGAAGGUAAGUGGGUCCCACUUUGUCUUUUUUUAGCAACCUGUACCAGCUCUCUUUGUUUCCACCGCCGGCGGUCACUUCCGAGAAAACAUUUCUCUAAUCAACAAAUUCAACGAAACUCAACCACGCCAGACCUCACCCCAACCCCUUUGUUCUUCGUUCAUCACCGUUUAAAGCUCUUGCGAGAGAUCAGCCGCCGUGAGACCACCAAAUCUCGCUAAGAAAUUUCACCACACCGGCAACCAUGGAAAAAAUGUCGGCCAUACCCUUUUCCUGGCUUUCCUCCAUUCUUCCCUUUAUUUGUUUUCAUUUUUUUUGUCUUUUUCAGGCGAGCCAUCAGAUCUGUCGGUUUUGAGCCUAAUAUAACAACAAUAACUCUGGCGAUUGUCAUUGAAGCAGUUGAUGGUUGUCCUUAGAGCAACCAUGGUUGUUAAGCUUUAGCUUUCAAAAAACUUGCAAAUAAAAAUAUGGAGAAAUAGUAAGUUAAACAACAAAAAAUGAAAUUGAAAAUAAACAUUCCCAAGAGUAUGAGCAGGAGUAGCACCAACAAACCCAGCUCCAACGAUGAUGAUAAUUUUUCAAAGUUGUCGUUGAAGCACUUGCCGACGUGUUUCGCACAAUGUUCGUCAAAUUAUUAGAAAUUACGUUGUGGGUGUUGGAUUUUUGCAAAGGGUAACAAUUACUUUUGUAUUGUAUUGAUUAUUGAAAUAAUGAAGAACAUGGA
rnacentral:lncRNA from 1 species